rnacentral:rRNA from 1 species
UACGAAGGGGGCUAGCGUUGUUCGGAAUCACUGGGCGUAAAGCGCACGCAGGCGGAUCGUUAAGUCAGGGGUGAAAUGCCGAGGCUCAACCUCGGAACUGCCUUUGAUACUGGCGAUCUUAGAGUCCGGGAGAGGUGAGUGGAACUCCGAGUGUAGAGGUGAAAUUCGUAGAUAUUCGGAAGAACACCAGUGGCGAAGGCGGCUCACUGGCCCGGUACUGACGCUGAGGUGCGAAAGCGUGGGGAGCAAACAGG